AGCGAACGCUGGCGGCAGGCCUAAAACAUGCAAGUCGAACGCCGUAGCAAUACGGAGUGGCAGACGGGUGAGUAACACGUGGGAACGUGCCCUUUGGUUCGGAACAACACAGGGAAACUUGUGCUAAUACCGGAUAAGCCCUUACGGGGAAAGAUUUAUCGCCGAAGGAUCGGCCCGCGUCUGAUUAGCUAGUUGGUGAGGUAACGGCUCACCAAGGCUACGAUCAGUAGCUGGUCUGAGAGGAUGAUCAGCCACACUGGGACUGAGACACGGCCCAGACUCCUACGGGAGGCAGCAGUUAGGAAUCUUGGACAAUGGGCGCAAGCCUGAUCCAGCCAUGCCGCGUGAGUGAUGAA
rnacentral:rRNA from 1 species